UACAGAGGGUGCGAGCGUUGUCCGGAAUCACUGGGCGUAAAGCGCGCGUAGGCGGCUUUGUAAGUUAGAGGUGAAAGCCCGGGGCUCAACCCCGGAACUGCCUUUAAGACUGCAUCGCUUGAAUCCGGGAGAGGUGAGUGGAAUUCCGAGUGUAGAGGUGAAAUUCGUAGAUAUUCGGAAGAACACCAGUGGCGAAGGCGGCUCACUGGACCGGCAUUGACGCUGAGGUGCGAAAGCGUGGGGAGCAAACAGG
rnacentral:rRNA from 1 species